AUUGAACGCUAGCGGGAUGCUUUACACAUGCAAGUCGAACGGCAGCGCGGACUUCGGUCUGGCGGCGAGUGGCGAACGGGUGAGUAAUGUAUCGGAACGUGCCCAGUAGCGGGGGAUAACUACGCGAAAGCGUAGCUAAUACCGCAUAAGCCCUACGGGGGAAAGCAGGGGAUCGUAAGACCUUGCACUCUUGGAGCGCCCGAUAUCGGAUUAGCUAGUUGGUGAGGUAACGGCUCACCAAGGCGACGAUCCGUAGCUGGUUUGAGAGGACGACCAGCCACACUGGGACUGAGACACGGCCCAGACUCCUACGGGAGGCAGCAGUGGGGAAUUUUGGACAAUGGGGGCAACCCUGAUCCAGCCAUCCCGCGUGUGCGAUGAAGGCCUUCGGGUUGUAAAGCACUUUUGGCAGGAAAGAAACGCCGCGGGCUAAUACCCCGGGGAACUGACGGUACCUGCAGAAUAAGCACCGGCUAACUACGUG
rnacentral:rRNA from 1 species